rnacentral:rRNA from 1 species
GACGAACGCUGGCGGCGUGCUUAACACAUGCAAGUCGAACGAAGAGCGAUGGAAGCUUGCUUCUAUCAAUCCUAGUGGCGAACGGGUGAGUAACGCGUAAUCAACCUGCCCUUCAGAGGGGGACAACAGUUGGAAACGACUGCUAAUACCGCAUACGAUCUAAUCUCGGCAUCGAGGAUAGAUGAAAGGUGGCCUCUACAUGUAAGCUAUCACUGAAGGAGGGGAUUGCGUCUGAUUAGCUAGUUGGAGGGGUAACGGCCCACCAAGGCGAUGAUCAGUAGCCGGUCUGAGAGGAUGAACGGCCACAUUGGGACUGAGACACGGCCCAGACUCCUACGGGAGGCAGCAGUGGGGAAUCUUCCGCAAUGGACGAAAGUCUGACGGAGCAACGCCGCGUGAGUGAUGACGGCCUUCGGGUUGUAAAGCUCUGUUAAUCGGGACGAAAGGCCUUCUUGCGAAUAGUGAGAAGGAUUGACGGUAUCGGAAUAGAAAGCCACGGCUAACUACGUG